UGCAAAAAAAGUAUAAACUUGUAUUACUCAAGCAGCAACCUUACACUCGUCCUUACACAAAUCAUCGACCUCGAGGGGGCGGAGCCGAGCCAGACUAUAGUUCUCCUUUCAGUUUUUGCAAAACUUGCUAAAAUAUCACUAACUACAUUUUGAGAACAGCUGAUAUAAGUAAUACGGGCCAUACGAAGAGACUUCAAAUGCUUGAUCUCCGCCACCAAAGAAGCAUACACAGACCUGUCCAUGUCCCUCCCAUUCAGAAUAUUCACCGCUGAAAAUGAGUCCAUCUUAAUGCAAACUGGUAGUUCCGUUCACUGUAUAGCAAUACAUAACCCCUUCAAGUUCGGACGCGAAGAAGCCAACAUGUCAUUCUUCAUCUGAUGGAAGAGUUGUUUUGCAUAGAAUAGAUUUUCAAUCAUUUUGCUUUUGCUUUUCUGAAAAUGCAUGCAGAAAAUUCCUUAAGUUUUAAUAAAACUUGUCGUUUUCAUAAAAACUGGAAUACAUUAGCUUCCACCCACUCAUAUGAUGCAUGCACUCAGAAUAUGUAUUUCGUCUUCUUAUUCCAUCCAUGAUACAUAAUAAUGUUACCAAGAUAGCUUGUCAGCCAACACGGAUACAUUGACACGACAAAACAGUAACUAUGUUCAUACCUUGUGAGUUAUAUUCUAAGUAUAUGUAGAUGAUGAUGAAUCAAAGCUUCUCUGCAUACUUAUUCCUCAGUACACUUGUCCUGUAACAAGUUAAUCUUGUGUCAUUAUAGAACUUAGUAGAGUUUAGUAACACUUGUAUGGGAAAAUGAUCAACCAGAUGAUCUGCAACUGCAAGAGCAGACUACCUUAUCAUGUAUUAGUACGUGACUCUCUUUCUUUGCUGCUGGUAACUUAUAACGGUAAUGCAGCACACGAAACUCAAGGGAAUCACGGUAAUACGUAUGCUCCCCUCUGAAAUACGCCCUUAACUACUGAAGAAAAAGAAGAAAUAGUACUCCUGACCAAAAAGAAGAAAAAUAGUACUCCUAACGAAAAAGAAGAAAUAACAACCAGCUCCAUGUAAAAAACAAUUAUGCUGCAAUAAUAGAAAUAGAAGUUACGAAAGCCUGACCAGUUAUUCCUGCCCACUAAGCAAAUCUGUAGCACUAUCAACCAUAAGCAUUGCAUUAUUGCAUACGGCUAAACUUGACAUAUAUGUACCACAGUGCAUCCAAACCUAUUUCAGCAAGAGAAAGAACUAUUCUUUUAGUUUUACUUGAUUUUUGUUAGCAAGUAAAAUUGUUGGAAGUGUAGCCGUGCGGUGCCAGAUUUACAUGGACCAUAUAAACCACAGUAAGAUGAUGUUAGCUAUCUGUAUAAAUUUGACUCUCCCAUGUCUGGAUUGCAAGAAUUUUCAUGAGCUUACCUGAGUACAAUGCCUCUGGUCCAGCUUCUUGGUGAAAACCAGAUGUGGUCUUGUUGCUGGAGCUGGACUACUCACCGGGACAUGAUUCUUCGGAUGACUUUCCGUUGUUGGAAACUCAUUGGAUUGGCACAACGACUUGUCUGGCCUCAUGAUGAUAGCACUUGUCGUCGACUCUGGAGCAUCAUACCAUGCUUAUGUUAAAAUCCCCAAAACUAAGAUAAGAUACAUAGAAAUCCCAAGAGUAUGUGUAAAAAAACGACCUGAUCAUGAAUUACAAAAUCUGUUCCGAGGGAAUAAUAAAUAAGAAGAAUGCAGUUUGUGUUAAUUACUUCCUUGCAUCAAUUUAAACUCCUAAAUGUUGCAGCUAGUUUCACAAAGGAAAGAAGAUGGCAAAAUAAUAAAAGUUUCCAUCCUAUAACCAUAACUAAACUUGGCUGCAAAUGAAAGAUAUCUACUACAGGAGUUGAUCCACGCUUUCAUCCUCACAUGUGACAGUCUCUUCUAAAUAACCGGAGUACAUUCUACGAGAAGGGAGGCUAAACUCACUCAAACAAUAACUGUGAACGAUCCUCAAGCAAUGACAUCCUUCUUGAUACAGCUAGCUGAAAUUAACAACAAGCGGGUUACUAUAUCCAAUUUCCAACUGAAAAGAUUAAGUGGUCAUGCACACACACAACUCAUUUGAAGAAUUUCAGACCAGCUAGUUAACAUGUGAAGCUGGGCUUCCUAUUUCAAGAUUUUUGUUAUAUCUCCGGGCCCAUUUCAGCAUAUGAUGGAACGAUUCUUUUAGCUCUUCUUUCUUAGACUCGCUCAAUCAUGUGCAGUUUUUGUGACAUCUGAACUUCAAAAUAAGCAAUCUGAAGAACAUAAUAAUCUCAAAACCCAAUAUGAACAGGGCUGACCACGCAACUUGGAUAAGAUUUUGAUGGAACGCAUCCAGAUCAAUCAGUCGAUCACCUCUCUCCGAAAAAAAUAUACACCACCAAAUUCAGAUGUUGCAGAAUUCUAUAGGAUCUCUUCAAGCUAAGAAUCAACAAGCUGAUGAGAGACCAAAAAUCAAAAUAAUAAUUGCACACGUUCAAAUGCGCACCUUCCAUCCAACUCUCAGAUUUGAAAGCAACUGAGAGUAUUUCAUUGAAGUGUCUGGACAUCUAAACUGUACAGCCUCAAGCAAUUCCAGAACCUACAUGAAACAAAUAGUACGUAAGAUUUUCCAGCGGACAAAUUGUCAGGAUAUCUUACUCUCACUGUUAAUGAAUAAAAGUUAAAUGAAACUGCUGGUAUAACAGUCUACUGGCCUGAAAUCCUGCUAUUCGUG
rnacentral:lncRNA from 1 species